rnacentral:lncRNA from 1 species
CUCAACACUGUAGAGGACCCUUAAUGCCCACUGGCUGGCGGCUGUCAGUUACCGGCAUCCUGCACACGUGGAUAGUUUGUUCUUUUUUGAAGGGAGAUCCAAGCUCCCACAGGCAAGAGCACAUCCUACUGGACCUGAGGAAGAAAAUGAUCUGUCCAUACCCACUGCCUGGAGAAUGAUCUGUUGCCAGAAGCUGGAUGACUUCGGGCCUAGCCAAAUGCCAAGCUAUGCUAAGGGAAGUUGGGGUUCUUGUCCUGGAAAAUUGCAGAAUGGACGCAGAGAUCCAUUACUGCGCGCGGCGGGGAAGAGGACGCCGCCGGGAGCUGGUGCGUGACACACUGCAGCCUCGCGGGCUGCCCGGGACUUCAUCAAGCCCGGGUCGGCUCGGGGCGGGCAGGGGUAGGAUCCAUACCGCCGAACUGCGGCCCCGCUGCUCGCAGCCGCUCUUCCGGGAGCGCCCGCUUAGGACUCACUCCCGCCCAUUCCUUACCUCGAUGGAAUCCUUAGCCCUUAGAGAGAGGGCUAAAAAACAAAUAAACAAACAACAGACAAACAAAAAAAAAACCAAAUUCCAAAUGGCCCCCGGACCCUCCCGCAGAUGCAGGGCGCACACUGGCCAGUUCUAACCAUAGACUUGACUGCAUGUUGACAAGGGUUUCCAACCUAGCUUCCCCGAGGUACUGCAUGAAUCAGUCCUUGCUCAGAUGGUGGUUGCUGUAAAUAGCUGCAAUUUCCCUCCUUCCGUCUCAAAGCACGGAUGGGAAUGGAUUUGCAGCAGGGACUCUGCAUUAUAUUUAAGGUCUUGGUGAGAUGGACACGGGCUCCAUCAGCUCCAGACUUCCUGGGACAUCUCGGCAUUUCCAGGUCCGUUUGCCCCAAUGGUGGAAGUCACCGCCCAUAUAUGAGGAAAUAAAUGUCCACACCUAGCAUUUGGGAUAACGUGGCUAAAUUGUUUUCAGUUUUUGAAAGACGCUGCAGAAAAAGAGGCAAAACCUGAUACAGCACAGCAGCAUGCCCCUCCCGCCCCCAAAUACGAGAUCGAAUCACAUUUUUAAGGGAAAAAAUAGGCAUUCUCAUCUUAGAUAUGUAUGUAGCAUAUUUUAUAAUAUAUAUUUUUAUCUAAAAAUUAUGCUUUUCUGUAUUUUACAACUUUCUUUAUUAAGCAUUUUUAUUUUGUGCUAUUUUUUACAGUAAAAACUCUGAAGACCCAAAGAAAUUUAAUAUUAGCUUAAAUGUACAUUAGAUAUAUUUAUAGAAUCAAUUUAUUAGCUGCUAUAUUGUUUGACAUAAAAGGCUUUUGAACUAAAAAAAAAAAAAAAAAAAAAAAAAAAAAAAAAAAAAAAAAAAAAAAAAAAAAAAAA